AUAACUGAACAGAGACUAUUAAUGGUACUAGUAUAAAUUAACAAUUUUUAUGAUAUAAUAACUCUAUUCACCAAUGAGCAAUUUACUACAACAUGCACUGCCAUAGAGUUACUUAUUUUUAACUCUGUCCUAUUUGGCCUUGUGCAAUAAGAAAGAAGUCUGGUACUAUCAGGUACUUGGUUUAAAACAACAAAGAUGGAACAUUCAUAUACACAUGUAACUUAGGAAGCAAAGUUGGAUUUAUCCAUCGUCAGUAUCUGGAGUGUUGUAUUAAAUGGAUGAAGAUGUCCACU